rnacentral:rRNA from 1 species
AUUGAACGCUGGCGGAAUGCUUUACACAUGCAAGUCGAACGGCAGCACGGGUGCUUGCACCUGGUGGCGAGUGGCGAACGGGUGAGUAAUGCACCGGAACGUAUCCAAUAAUGGGGGAUAACGCACCGAAAGGUGUGCUAAUACCGCAUACGCCCUGAGGGGGAAAGCGGGGGAUCGUAAGACCUCGCGUUAAUGGAGCGGCCGAUGCCGGAUUAGCUAGUUGGUGAGGUAAAGGCUCACCAAGGCGACGAUCCGUAGCUGGUCUGAGAGGACGACCAGCCACACUGGAACUGAGACACGGUCCAGACUCCUACGGGAGGCAGCAGUGGGGAAUUUUGGACAAUGGGCGCAAGCCUGAUCCAGCCAUUCCGCGUGAGUGAAGAAGGCCUUCGGUUGUAAG